AACGAACGCUGGCGGCGUGUUUAAGACAUGCAAGUCGCACGGGAUAAGACAUGUAGUAAUACUUGUUUUAUUUAGUGGCGCACGGGUGAGUAACACGUGAAUUACAUGCCCUAUAGUGGGGAAUAGCCCAGGGAAACUUGGAUUAAUACCCCAUGGUAUCGAAAGAUUAAAGGUGGCCGCAAGGCUGUCGCUAUAGGAUUGGUUCGCGCCCUAUCAGCUUGUUGGUGAGGUAACGGCUCACCAAGGCAAUGACGAGUACCUGGUCUGAGAGGACGAUCAGGCACACUGGAACUGAGACACGGUCCAGACACCUACGGGUGGCAGCAGUCGAGAAUAAUUCACAAUGGGGGCAACCCUGAUGGUGCGACGCCGCGUGGAGGAUGACGGUCUUCGGAUUGUAAACUCCUGUCAUCUGGGAGAAAGACCUGACGGUAAAUAGCCGGCAGGGUUGAUAGUACCAGAAGAGGAAGGGACGGCUAACUUCGUGCCAGCAGCCGCCGUAA
rnacentral:rRNA from 1 species